CUGGCGGCGUGCCUAAUACAUGCAAGUCGAACGGUCUUUCUAUGGAAGCUUGCUUCCACUGAGAAGAUAGUGGCGAACGGGUGAGUAACACGUGGGUAACCUGCCUCAUAGAGAGGAAUAGCCUUCCGAAAGGGAGAUUAAUACCUCAUAACAUUGCAGUUUCGCAUGGAACAGCAAUUAAAGGAGUAAUCCGCUAUGAGAUGGGCCCGCGGCGCAUUAGCUAGUUGGUGAGGUAACGGCUCACCAAGGCGACGAUGCGUAGCCGACCUGAGAGGGUGAUCGGCCACAUUGGGACUGAGACACGGCCCAGACUCCUACGGGAGGCAGCAGUGGGGAAUAUUGCACAAUGGGGGAAACCCUGAUGCCAGCAACGCCGCGUGAGUGAUGACGGCCUUCGGGUUGUAAAGCUCUGUCUUCAGGGACGAUAAUGACGGUACCUGAGGAGGAAGCCACGGCUAACUACGUGCCAGCCGCCGC
rnacentral:rRNA from 1 species